rnacentral:misc_RNA from 1 species
UCUCCGUAGGUGAACCUGCGGAGGGAUCAUUACAGAGUUCUCGCCCUCGCGGGUAGAUCUCCCACCCACUGUUAUCGUUACUGUGUUGCUUUGGCGGGCCGCCGGGCCCCGCUCGGCCGCCGGCUCCGGCUGGCGCGCGCCCGCCAGAGGCCCAGCAAACUCUGAAUGUUAGUGUCGUCUGAGUACUAUAUAAUAGCUAAAACUUUCAACAACGGAUCUCUUGGUUCUG